rnacentral:rRNA from 1 species
AUUGAACGCUGGCGGCAGGCCUAACACAUGCAAGUCGAACGAGUGGCGGACGGGUGAGUAAUGUCUGGGAAACUGCCUGAUGGAGGGGGAUAACUACUGGAAACGGUAGCUAAUACCGCAUACAAUCAGAUGUGCCCAGAUGGCAGUAGAUGGUUGGUGGGGUAACGGCUCACCAAGUCGACGAUCCCUAGCGGGUCUGAGAGGAUGACAGGCCACACUGGAACUGAGACACGGUCCAUCCUCCUACGGGAGGCAGCAGUGGGGAAUAUUGCGCAAUGGUCGCAAGCCUGAUGCAGCCAUGCCGCGUGUAUGAAGAAGGCCUUCGGUUUGUAAAGUACUUUCAGCGGGGAAGCGUUACCCACAGAAGAAGCACCGGCUAACUCCGUGCCAGCAGCCGCGGUAAUUC